GCGGGCGUGGCGGAAAUGGCAGACGCGCAGGAUUUAGGAUCCUGUGGGUUAACCCGUGGGAGUUCAAAUCUCCCCGCCCGCACCA
rnacentral:tRNA from 1 species